rnacentral:rRNA from 1 species
UACAGAGGGGGCAAGCGUUGUUCGGAAUUACUGGGCGUAAAGGGCGCGUAGGCGGCCUGCUAAGUCGGACGUGAAAUCCCUGGGCUCAACCCAGGAACUGCGUCCGAUACUGGUUGGCUUGAAUCCGGGAGAGGGACGUGGAAUUCCAGGUGUAGCGGUGAAAUGCGUAGAUAUCUGGAGGAACACCGGUGGCGAAGGCGACGUCCUGGACCGGUAUUGACGCUGAGGCGCGAAAGCCAGGGGAGCAAACGGG